GCCCCCGCUGCGUCUCGUUCUUGCUCGCAUCGGCGCACCACGUGCUGAAUCGUUGGACCACACCAGGUCAAGACACCGCGGCGUCACUCGGUUACAACUGCUAUUCUCACGGUGCCAAUUGUUAGAGCAAUUAAAGUUUGUCCACAUAGUUUGAUACUUUAAAUGUAUUUGGAUCUGAAACGUGCGUUUUUAAACUUGAAACCUUGCUGGUC